rnacentral:rRNA from 1 species
GUGUCAGCCGCCGCGGUAAUACGGAGGGGGCUAGCGUUGUUCGGAAUUACUGGGCGUAAAGCGCGCGUAGGCGGGCUGUUAAGUCAGGGGUGAAAUCCCGGGGCUCAACCCCGGAACUGCCUUUGAUACUGGCAGCCUAGAGUUCGAGAGAGGUGAGUGGAAUUCCGAGUGUAGAGGUGAAAUUCGUAGAUAUUCGGAGGAACACCAGAGGCGUAGGCGGGUGGCUGGACAGGUACUGACACUGAGGCACGAAAGCGUGGGGAGCAAACAGGAUUAGAUACCCUGGUAGUCCACGCCGUAAACGAUGGAUGCUCGAUGCUGCGGCGUUUUUGCUGCAGUGUCCAAGCUAACGCAUUAAGCAUCCCACCUGGGGAGUACGCUCGCAAGAGUGAAACUUAAAUGAAUGACGGGG